AACAGAAGUAUAAUAAAUAAAUAAAAUACGCUACAAUUGAAUUUGUCUAAAUGUGAUAGCUUGAAAAAGAGGCUGCCCUCAGUUUUCAGGAAAGUGAUUUCAUUUCUUCCUGGUGCAGGCUCCAGCACCACAUGCCAUUUGGUUCCAGACAGUCUCUGGAUCCUUAGUAAUAGUUUUUUAGGAAAGCCAGGGAAGAGGAGCCCGCAAAGGAAUGUGCAGGCAGCUAGGAUCUGGCCAUGGUUAUUAAUGCGUAAAGCUGUUAGUUCUGAGUCAGUGGAAAGAAACCGUUUCAGCUGAUCCAUAAGCCAUUCAAGCUGGAGUUGUUGACUUUAAACAUGUAUAAUCCCACUGAUGUCAGUAGUACUAUUCUGAUUUAGUCAAAGUAAUGUGAGCUGUUUUCUGCUGUGACUGCUUGUCAAUAGAUUUGCAACUUAAACAUUUGCAUUUUAAACAUUUUUGAAGCAGAUUUUGCCGAUAUCCAUGGAGCCUCCUUUCCAGAAGCAUCUAAGUCUUAUUUAGUUAAGAAUAUUCUAUACACUUUUCAGACAAAACUAUUUGCACAACAACAUGUUUUCUUUGGGGGUCAAGCAAUGGAAGUUUUCUCACAUUAAAACCAAAACAACACUUAAUGUCAUUCUUUGCUCUGGAUGUAGUGGCAUAACUUUGAUAUGCAGCUGAAAUCCUCAGACAGGCUGCAGAAGUUACCUUGGUUUCAAGACCAGAUUUAAGUGUAACCUUGAGAGGGAUAUGACAGCUUUGAUUCUCAUACACUUUUUUUCUCCUUAAUUUUAGAUGCAGAGAGUAGAAUAAUUUUUUAUGCAUCCGCUUGGUACAUUUCAGAAUUUACUUUGCCUACAUGUGCAAUAUCCUCCUUCCAGCACACCCGUUUAAAUAUCAUUGUUAUCCUUACUAGUUAUCAAGUGAUAUCCACUGGUUAUACACAGCAGCAUUAAAGAUCCCAGCUGCAUGUUACCUGGAAUGACAAGCUUGUUACUACAUCUGUGGCAGCAGAGGAGUAGCUACUACCUGUAAGCUAUUCUGGAUAACACCUAACAUGUUUCUGUGAUGAGCUUUGGUAUAACUGGCGUGAUGUUUAAGUAAUUCAGCCAUAAGUUGGAAGCUAAUUGCAACAGGUCCUGAUCAUGUAAUCAGCCCUCUGAGAGGGCGAUGCAAAAGCCACAAGUGAUUGCCCCCACAAGCAGUGUUACUUCAUCAAGCAUUGAUCACAGAAAAGCUGUGUUAACACAUGCAAAGGUAACCUUAAAGGCAGGUGUGGGCAACUUGUGACCCUCCAGAUGUUUUGGCCUACAACUCUCAUCAGCCCUAGGCAGCAUAACCCAUGCUGAAGGGAACCAUAGAGCAGGACAUUGGGAGUUGCAUACCCUGUUGUAAGGACCACACCACAUUGGUGACAAAUUUGGAGGUGUCACGAGCAUAGUAAUAACUAUGGGGCCUCUCCUUAAGCAUGAGAUAACCAUGGGAAGUGCCAGAGAGGAGGAAGCAACCAUACCAUUCAGGUAACAUGAAGAACAGAACCUGAGGCUAGUGUUUGAUCUCGUCAGGUUCUCUAUGCAGCCUGAAGAAAGUUUUAAUUCAUAUUGCUAGUUUAAAGCAUUUAUUUUAUCCAAUGUAAACCAGAGGAAAAGGGCAAUGCAACAAAACAGCCUUAUGUAAGGGUUCAUGUAUCAACAUACCAGAUUACAUAUAUUGUGACUGAUUGGAAUUUAAGGAGUCCUGGGAAAGUUUGAUUUUGUUCAUUGAUGUUUGUUCAUUAUGUAUUGAAAGGCAAACAAAACAUUAGACAUAGCAAGUAGUUCUUUAUAGCCUGGUCCAGCUGCUUUUCCUCCACCCCCACUUUUUCUUCUGCGGGGAACUAUUUGAUGUACAUCUUACACAAAAAUUAUGUGAUGAAAGAGAUGUGCAUAGUACACCAUUUGUACGGCUGGUCCACCUUAGUGUGAAAUUCAUAUUGAUUGACUACCUGUCUCAGUGUUACAGGAUAUUUUCCCUAUAGACAUGACUUUAGAACUGGUAGAAUUUAGUUUGUGCUGCAUGAAGUAUCCAUAAAGUAUCCUCUUUCAAUUUUACCAAUUUGUGUUUUUUUUGUGUAGAACUCGAUGGUAGAUAUACCAGUACUUCCACCAGUUCCAGAAGUCCCAGACGGGUGGGAAAUACUAAUGAAGGCCUAAACCAUGAAUGCAAGCUGUGCAACCAGACCUUUGAUUCACCUGCCAAACUUCAGUGCCAUCUGAUAGAACACAGUUUUGAAGGAAUGGGAGGGACUUUCAAAUGUCCAGUUUGUUUUACAGUAUUUGUUCAAGCCAACAAGUUGCAGCAACACAUUUUUUCGGCCCAUGGGCAAGAAGACAAGAUCUAUGACUGCACACAGUGCCCACAGAAGUUCUUCUUCCAAACAGAACUGCAGAAUCAUACAAUGACUCAACAUAGCAGUUAGUGCAAGGCUCAAUUCUUCAGGAGAGGAUUCUUUGCAGGACAAAAAAAAGGGAACACAUUUUACUCUUUGCACGAGACUUUCAUUGUUAAUGUAUAUUAUUCAGAAACAUUGUAUUGUACCAUAAAACUUGUAUUAUCAAAACUGUUGGAUGUUCAUGUGUUUGAACUUUGAGCACCGGAGAGACUUCCUGUAUAUAAAGUGUUGCACAUGUAUUAUGUUGUCUGAUACUAAAAUGGUCUUAUAAAGACAAGUGGACUUGGGCCCUAUUCAAGCAGGAUUAAAAGGAUAAUGAUGAUAAUGACAAGUAAAGGAAAGCAAUGGUUAAGAAAAUGUUAAUUCAAGAAAGAGAAGAAAAAGAAGAAGAAAGUAGCAGUGAUACAUUAUAACCCUAUUUGGCCUUCCUUUCUUUCAAGCUUAUGUCUACAAUCUCUGUCUUUUGGUAUACAAACAGAUGAAUUCAAGAAUAUUUUUAUCGCUGAAGAAUCUUGCAAAAAAUAAAACAAAAUAUGGAGACUCUCCAAGCGGAAUCCCCCAGCUGAAUAUGGCCUGUAUAUAUAUUUGUAAGCCUUGCGAUAUGACAGAUAGCAUUAUCAUAUAUGCAAUAGUUGUUAUGUAGAUUGUCAAAGAAACUUUUUUCCCUGGAUACCAUUUGAAGCUUUUGAGUGUUCAAGACUUUUCCUUAAUAAUGUCACAUGGCCAAAUUUUUGAAUCAGUUGAACUAACCUGUAUGUUACUGUUAUUAAUGUUUACUCUGCGGUCUGAACCUGGAGAUUACUGGAAUGGUUUUCCAAGAGGAAAUAAAUUCAGUUUACCAUUACAUAAAA